CUUUGCGAAUUCGAGUAGCGUCAUUUUAGAUGACUGGAGCCUGCCCUUGGCAUAUGCUAUUCAAGUAUGGACAUUUUUGCCUCUGCCCUUGGCUAUUCUUUCCCCCGGCGCCAGAUGGUAAAACUGAACCAUUUUGCACUCGUUGAAGGCAAACAUUCGUAUCCCCGAUGAAAUAGUGCUCCCCCUCUCCUUCAUCACCGGCAUGCUCCUUGCCCACCCCAGUGCUCCCCCUCGCCUUCGUCGCCGGCUUGCUCCUUGCCCACCCCAAUGGUCCUCCUCGUCCACGCCCUCAUCCUCUGCCAAGAAUGAUAGAACUUGUGGAUUUUACAAGUGGGAGAAAGAUUAUGUCAAGUAUUUGGGGGUCUUGGUGAAGGGGAAGGUCAUAGGUGAAACUCCUCUAUAGGUGGAACGGAUGCAUUUGUUGAAUUUUGUGAUGUGAAGUUUCAGAUUUUAGAGUUACGAAGCAUGUACUUGAUAUGAAGAACCAAAUUUUUGAAGUUCAGAAAGAAUUUGCAAAGAAAAAUAGUGGGGUUUCAGUAGAAAGUGUGUGUACGGGCUGUAUGUGUAGGUGUUGUGUUUGGAACUCUUCUAGCAUAUGUAUCCAAGUGAUUUAUAGCAUAUGUGUGUACUGGCUGUAUGUGUAUCCAAGUGAUUUCAAGGCCGAAAUUGUAUCCAGGUUGCAUGAAUGAAACAACUUGUAUGAAA